AAAACUGUUUUAUUUAGCUAAAGUAAUUUAGGUGACUAUAGUGUUCCUUUAAGAAAAACAAAAGUGUAAAAUGAACAAUAGAAAACAUGACAUAAGCCAAGAAAAAACAAAACAGUUCAAUAGUAUAAGGUGACUCUCACCCAAUAUAGGGGUUACAUGUACAGGUUUGCUAAAAAAUGUCCUUUGUUUAGUUCGCAGAGGAGUAAGAAUUUCAAGGCUUCAAGAUUUUGGUAUCAGCGUCCUGAAUGCAGAAAUGGCGCCCCGGGAUGGCAACCAGGUGCCGAUCACAUGAGUGCUCAAGAUAAUGUUAGAGGUGGUUAGGUAAAGGAUAAAAAGGGUUAGAUUACAUAGGGCGUUUAGUGUUAAUAAUAUUAACAGUUCGAGAAGGUUCAAAGUUGUCGUAUAAGGCUUUUUAGGGUUAUUGAGUUGAGG